UCCCCUGAUUCCAGUGGGGAAGCCAGGAUCUUGAGUAAGUAACAGAGGCCAAAUUGAGGCACCUGUCAGAACCAAGGUGAAAUGGUUACCAUUCCAGUUGCUAGGCAGCACACCCACAGUUCUAAGUAAAUACUCUGACCUACAGAGAACUUUGAAUGGUAGCUAAUUUGUCAGGAGAGAGAAAGAGCACACUGUAGAGAUGCGGUUUCACUAUGUUGGCCAGGCUGGUCUCGAACUCCUGACUUUGUGAUCCGCCCACCUCAGCCUCCCAAAGUGCUGGGAUUACAGCACAAGGCCACACCAAGAAAAGAUGGAGAGAGAAAGAAGCUAUGGUGUAAAAAAGAGUAAUGAGGCUGACCUCUUCUGAGUGAGUGCAGUGCUGAUCUAAUUGGUAAGUCUAUGUCAUGUCUACCUCUCUCACCCUGUCUUCAUCAUUCUUGUUGAGUUCCCACUGUGUACAUGGCCACAUGUACUUCUGAGGCAAUUCUUCCAGCAACUGAAAUAAAUAGCAGCGAACUCAGCCAAGGAAUCUGCAGAAAUUGAUAGCCUCCUAGAAGAAGGGUUGGACAGCAAUGACGAAUCAGUGCCGUCCAUCAGCAGUCACUAGGAACAGGGAAAAUAUUUCCCCCAGUGUCUUAAUCAGUUAGAGGGAUGUCG